GCAUUUGAGCCGCAAUGGGUCAGUGUGUCUGGCUAUUAACCAGAAGGUUGGUGGUUUGAUCCCACAAGGGGACA